rnacentral:tRNA from 1 species
GUAAAUAUAGUUUAACAAAAAUAUUAGAUUGUGAAUCUAACGACAGAAGCUAGUAUCUUCUUAUUUACC